GCUACAGCUGAGGGGGAGGCAGCGGGCAGAACGUUUGGGCAGCGCAGAGCCUACGUGCACUUGAGCCACCGCGUCUCUCCCAGGAGAAAUGCGUGGCUCGGGCACACUGCAGGCCCCGCGGUGAGUACCACCUGGCAUUUUGUCACCCCCUCAUUGGUGACACCCGAGGUGGCCCACCCCCCUUCCUCCGCCCCUGUAGAGAGGCAUUUGCGAAUGCUCAAAGCCUUUUGCUUUUAUUGUAGAAAGCCACAUGCAAGCUUGAUUUGAGAGGGUUCACCCUCUAGAAGAAGGGAAACCCAGCCAGAUGGAUGGGUAGAAAUAAAUUAUUAUUAUUAUUAUUGAAGAUAUGAAGUUAUUAUAAAAAGACUGGCUUUGUGACUGUUCGGGGUGCACUUCCCUCAUCCCUACAAAACUGCAGCCCAUCCCCAGAUUUCUGGGAUUAGCAACAAGUCUUGGUCAGAAAGAAAACUCCCUAGAUCUGACCUGAGUUCCAGCAUCUUUCUUAUUUCCCAUCCCAUUUUAGGGAUGGAUACAGCUGCCAAUUUUUGCUCUCUGAGUUUCUCUAUUUUCUAAUAUUAAAUUCAGCUCUCCACACUUCUGCAGCAAUUUCUUGGGGGGGGGGAUUAAACCCUCAUGAAAAUGCAUGAAAAUUCUUUUAGCGUUUUAGUGUGAAUAAUAAACACAUUUUUUUGCUGUUUUGACCAAUGUACACCUUUUUGCAAGCAAUUUAUCCUAAUAUAGUGCUUUUUGUAUAUUUUCAUGAAUACAUUCAUUCUGAUGCACACGUUUACCUAAUACAUGCAUUUUUGCAAUCCUUCUUUGGUUGGCAUCCCAAGCGCAUCCCAACAUUCAGAUAGUUGUGAAUUUCAAAUGAUGGUUGUGUUUCCAUUCUCAUCUUGUUUUGGAAAGUGAAAAUUUGAUACAUCUGCCUUUAAAUGAGAACUGAACCGAGUUUCUUCCCAUCCUGACUCUGUGCUAUGCAAAGUUACAAACAACCUGACUUUCAUAUCUUGAAAAUAUGCCAGGGUGCAAAUUUAAGCCACAGCACAGGCUGCAGGUAGGACAAGGUAUUCUUCGGGUUUACGGUAAAAGUCUCCUGCUAGCCCCUCAGAGUCCCAUUGUGGCAGCCUGGCUGUCCUAUUCCAGCACAGACCCUCCCAAUCAUGUCAGGCUCACUGGCCUUCUGAUGCUUUUCCUGGGCUUGGAAUAAAAACAAAAGUAGAAGAAAGUCCCUCCCCCUCUUUUUUAGACCCCAAUUACUUUCUCAAACUGCUGAAGAAAACUAAAGCAGUGGCUAGAAAGCAAGAAGAGAGUUUUAUAGCAUGGAAAAGCCCUGAGCAGGGACUAUUUCAGUGUUAUUCCAACCAAAGUGUAUGGGGGAGUAAGGGGAGAGAUUGACAAUGAAAACAAACAAGGCAAGCAUUACAUAUUUCCCUAGGCUUCGAAGCAGAGGAGAAGCCUACCAACUGGCUCCCACACACACGCAAUUCCAUGAAGCGCUCUUUCUUGUAGGAUGGCCAGGAGGACUGGCUCCUGCUUAAUUGCGCGUCAUCAUUACACUGCAAGAGCUCACUGAGAUGGGAAGUUUGAUUAUUGGUUUUUAAUUCUGAUGCAGUUUUUCAUCCUGAUGGCUCUUUUGCAUGACAUUAAAUUACCUUGCUGCAAAUUAAAUACAAUAAAAUUGCUAAUAAGCCCAUUGGAAUAUGCUGACAGUGUGAUAUCUGGUUGCUGGAGAACGCUACCCCCCUCCAGUGCUUCUUUACACUAAACCUGCAUGAUGUCCAAAUCAAUCCAGAUGCCUAUCCCAUUCCUUAAAAAAUAGAAAAGUCUUGCGCAUGCACGCAUGCACACACACACACACUGCAACCAGAUCAUCCACCAUUUAUGCACGACCACUCCAUACAGACUUGGUGUGUGUGACACAGAAAAUCCAUAUUUACAAACUUUUAUACUGAUUUUAGAUCAGCUUGCCUUGUCAUUGUUCCCCUAAAGAACCCUAAGAAUUCUUGUUUGGAAAAGUUGCUGAUGUGAGUGUUCUCUGUGAGAGUUUUCUUUACACUUCAUCAAACUAAUUGAAAUGGAGAGGAAAACCACCCCACGCAGGCCAAUGAGGCUUGAGCAUGCUUAGUGGGUAUGCAACACUGACUGACGAGGAGGGAGAAUGGGCAAAUACAUCCGUUUCUCUCAGUUUCUCAUUUUUCCAAUGAUAAAAUCAGUUCUCAGCAUUGCUAUAUUUAUUUAUUUAUUUUUAAAGUGCUCAUGGAAAUUCAUCACCAUUUUUGUAUGGCUUUCUUCUAUGGUACACAUGUUUAUAUGCAAUUUUGCCUAAUACUGUAUACACAUUUUUGCACAUUUCCCUAUUAUAAGUCAUUUUCUAUAGUAUCUAUAUUUCUAUAUUUUCUACAUUUUGAUAUUAUCUUCACUAAUAUAUGCACACUUUACCAUAGUAUAUGAUUUUUAUGGUACAUAUUACUUCACUGGCGAACUGCUUUGCAAAAUUUGGAUAAGCGCAAAUUUCAAAAGAUGUUAUGUUUUGGUUUGUUUCAGAACAAAUAAUAGUAAUAGUAAUAAUGCUGGUGAAAGAACAAUAUAUUCUACUGCACUUGAGGGGAGCAGGCAAACUUAGGGGUGUCAGGGCAAGCCAUAUGGCACUCACAGAUCUGUCCCCUCCCUGGACCUCAACAUUUGUUGCCUGAGGCUGCUGCCUCACUCUGUCUCAUUAUAGGGCCAGCCUUGAUUCACAUGUUUCAAGACUAGGCCCUAGCCUUGAAAUAUAUUGUUUUUAAUUUCCCAUAGCUUUGUAUCUCUUAGCCACAAAUAAGAGCAGUUUUGUAAAAUGACCUUCAGAAGAUAUGCCUAUAAUUGUUGCCUCCUCUGCUUUUUAGUCACACAUAUUGACUGUGGGCUAACAACACUUAGCAAUUUCUUAGCUAUUGAAAAAGAUAAUGAACUUGGAGUGUAAAAACGGGGCCUUCAGCUUAACUCAGGAAGCAGGGAGUCUCAGUGGUAACAGGGGGACUGCAAUAUGUGCCUUUUUCCCUUCUGUCAAGACAAGCUAAUUGGAAAACAAUCAUUUUUGUAUUGGCAAAGAGUCCCUAUCUGCAACAGCCAGAGAUAUAAUCCUCUUAUGUAACAGGUCAAAUAAUAAUAUAUCUUCAAGGUGCUUUUAACUUCAUUUGUAAAAUUCCCCUUCACAAAUGACAUUUUAAUUGCAUUAUUAGAUGCAGGUCUUAGGAACUUAAGUCCAAACCACAUGUCGUUAAUAUUCCUAAAAUAACUGAGAAUAGGGGAAUGGAAGUCCUAACAAAUAUUUUGUUGAGCAUCUUUGCUGCGCAAAUGGCAAUAUUUUCAAUGUUAGUCUAAACAACAGGGUAAGAAAAACUACUCAGAGAAGUUGUUUAUACACUAUGGCUACAGACCAUUUUUUUGGUUAAGAAUACAGUGGUACCUCAGGUUACAUACACUUCAGGUUACAUAUGCUUUAGGUUACAGACACUGCUGACCUAGAAAUAGUACCUUGGGUUAAGAACUUUGCUUCAGGAUGAGAACAGAAAUCGUGCUUCGGUGGCACGGCAGCAGCAGGAGGCCCCGUUAGCUAAAGUGGUGCUUCAGGUUAAGAACAGUUUCAGGUUAAGAACGGACCUCCGGAAUGAAUUAAGUACUUAACCUGAGGUACCACUGUACUUAGACUCACUGAAAUUAGUGGAGUUAAAGUUGCAGCCCCAAGGACCCUUACUGGAAAGAAAAAUUCACUGAACACAGUAGGACUUACUUCGGAGGCACCGUGAAAAACUGUAAAUAUGAGUAACUCUAUGCUGGAUUUGUGUGGCCUGUGUGUUUUGACUUUUUUUGUAAGCUAUUACAGGUGCUCAGGUUUACCUAACUCUUGCAUAUCCAAAUAUGCACAGGUGCCAGUGGGGAAUUUCCCCCAAAGCAAAUACCAGAUUUAGAAGUCUAAUUUCCCUCAGGACUCCAGCAGGUUGAAUCCCCCCUCCACACCUGCUCUGCUCCCAUGCCACCCAAAGCAAAAAUUACUGUCCUAUUGUCAGCAUCAUUCUGUAUAAUGGGAGUGGCUCAAGGCCCAACUACUGUGGGGUACUGAGCCGCUCCCAUUAUACAGAAUGAUGCCGACAAUAGGACAGUAAUUUUUGCUUUAUCCCAAUUUUGCAGCUGAUUUCAUGUGAGCUUCUUGCACUUUGGAUGUGGCAGCAGUCCUUCUGACGAUAUAUUGUUAAUCUGCUCUGUCCUGAACCUCAUGAGCUGUGAACGACUUAAAAAGGAAAAUUGUGGGAUUAUCUUGAGAUCGCACUCAAUUACUCUGGCUCAUGUUGCUAACUGAAAACAGUUUACAAACUUGUGAAAUUUCUUAAUUUUUCUAAAACUGUUCUUGUAAGGAACUUUUGGCUAGCAUAAAGUGUUAGCUAGUGGCUGACCUAAACUGCAGCAGUUCAGAUGCAGUUUCUAACUCAAGUGAUAGUUUGUUUCAGGCAGAGCUUUGUAAUUAUUACUUGAAAAUGUUGUUUUCUGCUAUUAAUGGCUGUGUUUUGCCAUAUGCCCCACUAUUUGCUGCCAGCCAUUAUUCAUAGAUAGAACCUGGAAAUAAAUCUUGUCGAGUACAGUGUAGUUGGCAGGACAAGCUGGGAGCACCAGAGGAAGCCAGUUUAACAGAAGGACUUGGCUUUAAGUCAGUCUCUGCUCUAGCCCUAAGAUGUGCUGUUCCAGCGCAAAAAGUGCUUAGGAUAUGAGCAUCCAUGCUGUAAUAUGCAGAGGCUUUCCUUACAUUGUUUUUACAUUUCAUAUCUAUAAUCCAGAGCCCUGGAAAUGUUUUUAAAGUUGAAGGGGAACAUAAUGACUGUUGCCUACAUAUCACGUGCAUUAUUACAUCUUUAUUUAAUAAGCGACUAACAAAACUAUAAGCCAUUGCGUUCAAUAUUUUUAAUAAUAUUUUUAUUUGCUUUUCUGUUAUAUCUUGCCAUCAAUAUGUACUCUGUUACAUUCGUGCUUAAAACAAAAAUAAAGGCGAUAACCUAAAUAUAAAACAUGAGCAUAUACAGUGGUACCUUGGGUUAAGAACUUAAUUUGUUCUGGAGGUCCGUUCUUAACCUGAAACUGUUCUUAACCUGAGGUACCACUUUAGCUAAUGGGGCCUCCUGCUGCCACUGUGCUGCCGCUGCGUGAUUUCUGUUCUCAUCCUGAAGCAAGUUCUUAACCCGAGGUACUAUUUCUGGGUUAGAGGAGUCUGUAACCCGAAGUGUCUGUAACCUGAAGUGCCUGUAAACCGAGGUACCACUGUAAUAAUAAUGGUAACAUAUCCACAUUCCUCCAAGUUGUUUAAUUCCUAUAUGUCUUUACUUUUACUUCCCUUCUACUCUUUCCAUGAUUUCCUGUCUCCUAUCCUUUUUAACUGUGUUUUCUUAUUCUUCUACAUUAUUCUCAUUACCUUACAUAGUCUCAUGUUGUAACAUAUACUGCUGAGUGUUUGUUCAACCUGUUAUGAUAAUUUCCUUGUUAUAAUAUUUUUCCAUAUAAUAUCCAGUCCUCUUUCAGUCUCUUAUCAUCUUUAUCUCUUAAUCUAUUUGUCAUACUGGCUAGUUCUAUUGCUUUCAAUAUUGUCAACAUGAGUUUAGCAUAAUCUUAUGUACACUGAAAUAACUAGUAAUUCUUCAUGAUGAUAAUUGUAGAACAUUUAGAGAGCAUCACUUGGCUUUGACUUCAACAAUGGUCUUUUCUUCUUCUUUUUCAGAUCAGCUGUGGGGUGAGGUCACACAGCCCCGCCCCCAGCAACUAGGGCAGUGCUACCUCGUUGCAUCCCAACUUUUGGAGCCUAUGGGUGCCUUCCCAGUCAUUGAUUUGCAGGAGGGAUUCAAGCACACACCAGAACUUUGGGUUUGCACAUUUAAAGUGGAUUAAAGGGCUCUAUAAGCCUAGCCAAUAAAUCCACUUUUAUAAC
rnacentral:lncRNA from 1 species